CCUACGGGAGGCAGCAGUGAGGAAUAUUGGUCAAUGGACGAGCGUCUGAACCAGCCAAGUAGCGUGAAGGAUGACUGCCCUAUGGGUUGUAAACUUCUUUUAUAUGGGAAUAAAACGUUCCACGUGUGGGAUUUUGUAUGUACCAUAUGAAUAAGGAUCGGCUAACUCCGUGCCAGCAGCCGCGGUAAUACGGAGGAUCCGAGCGUUAUCCGGAUUUAUUGGGUUUAAAGGGAGCGUAGGUGGAUUGUUAAGUCAGUUGUGAAAGUUUGCGGCUCAACCGUAAAAUUGCAGUUGAAACUGGCAGUCUUGAGUACAGUAGAGGUGGGCGGAAUUCGUGGUGUAGCGGUGAAAUGCUUAGAUAGCACGAAGAACUCCGAUUGCGAAGGCAGUUCACUGGACUGCAACUGACACUGAGGCUCGAAAGUGUGGGUAUCAAACAGGAUUAGAUACCCUAGUAGUC
rnacentral:rRNA from 1 species